AUACGUAGGUGGCAAGCGUUGUCCGGAAUUAUUGGGCGUAAAGCGCAUGUAGGCGGUUUGGUAAGUCGGUCGUGAAAAUGCGGUGCUUAACGCCGCAUGGCGAUCGAAACUGCCGAACUUGAGUGCAGGAGAGGAAAGGGGAACUCCCAGUGUAGCGGUGAAAUGCGUAGAUAUUGGGAAGAACACCGGUGGCGAAGGCGCCUUUCUGGACUGUGUCUGACGCUCAGAUGCGAAAGCCAGGGUAGCGAACGGGAUUAGAUACCCCGGUAGUCCUGGCCGUAAACGAUGGGUACCAGGUGUGGGAGGUAUCGACUCCUUCCGUGCCGGAGUUAACGCAAUAAGUACCCCGCCUGGGGAGUACGGCCGCAAGGCUUAAACUCAAAGGAAUUGACGGGG
rnacentral:rRNA from 1 species